AGUCGAACGGACUUACAUUGAAGCCUAGCGAUAUGUAAGUUAGUGGCGGACGGGUGAGUAACGCGUGGGUAACCUGCCUUGUACUGGGGGACAACAGUUGGAAACGACUGCUAAUACCGCAUAAGCGCACAGCUUCGCAUGAAGCAGUGUGAAAAACUCCGGUGGUACAAGAUGGACCCGCGUCUGAUUAGCUGGUUGGUGAGGUAACGGCCCACCAAGGCGACGAUCAGUAGCCGGCCUGAGAGGGUGAACGGCCACAUUGGGACUGAGACACGGCCCAAACUCCUACGGGAGGCAGCAGUGGGGAAUAUUGCACAAUGGGGGAAACCCUGAUGCAGCAACGCCGCGUGAGUGAAGAAGUAUUUCGGUAUGUAAAGCUCUAUCAGCAGGAAAGAAAAUGACAGUACCUGACUAAGAAGCCCCGGCUAACUACGUGCCAGCAGCCGCGGUAAUACGUAGGGGGCAAGCGUUAUCCGGAUUUACUGGGUGUAAAGGGAGCGUAGACGGUUUUGCAAGUCUGAAGUGAAAGCCCGGGGCUUAACCCCGGGACUGCUUUGGAAACUGUAGGACUAGAGCGCAGGAGAGGUAAGUGGAAUUCCUAGUGUAGCGGUGAAAUGCGUAGAUAUUAGGAGGAACACCAGUGGCGAAGGCGGCUUACUGGACUGUAACUGACGUUGAGGCUCGAAAGCGUGGGGAGCAAACAGGAUUAGAUACCCUGG
rnacentral:rRNA from 1 species